rnacentral:tRNA from 1 species
GCCAGGAUGGUCUAAUCGGUUAAGGCGUCGCCCCGGUCAGGCGAAGGUUGCGGGGUCAAUCCCCGCUCCUGGCC